GAUGAACGCUGGCGGCGUGCUUAACACAUGCAAGUCGAACGGACGGACGAGGCUUUUGUUGGUUGCACGUUAGCCGAGCAGGGGUGUGUAACGUGAGUAACCCGCCCUUAUAUUUGUGAUAACUUCUGGGGACUGCGGCGCUUAUCGCGUAGGAGCUUCUGCACCAUGGUGGUGAAUGGUGAGAUUCGGUGGUUGUGGAUGGACUCGCUGCUUAUCAGCUUCAUGGUGUGGUAGUGGCUUUCCAAGGGUAUGAAGGGUAGCCUGCCUGAGAGAGUGACCGGCGACAUUGGGACUGAGAUACGGCCCAGACUCCUACGGGAGGCAGCAGUGGGGAAUAUUGCACAAUGGGCGGAAGCCUGAUGCAGCAACGCCGCGUGCGGGAUGACGGCCUUCGGGUUGUAAACCGCUUUCGACUGUGACGAAGCGUGAGUGACGGUAAUGGGUAAAGAAGCCACGGCUAACUACGUG
rnacentral:rRNA from 1 species